rnacentral:lncRNA from 1 species
AUGGGCUGAAGUGACGCUGGAUGAGUGGCCAGUCUGGUCGGUAGGGUGGCCGGUGUGCUCUCAGGCUUGACUGCCAAUAGACCUCUGAUGAUGACACGAGCUCACGCCGUCUGCUUUGUGAACGUGUACAGGAUGCGGAAGACUGGCUACAUGCAGCAGGCCAGUCCCCACCACCCCGUGAGGGGCCGGGAUCAGUAGUCCUUACCUUACUAAUGUGUGGAAAUGGACGGUCUUAACUCUUCACUGUCCCACUGAGUGCAAUGCUAUUUCUGCCUGGAUCUCCUGCCGCACUGACCAGCUCUGGCUACACGUGUACUCCGGUGCCCCUCCCCUCCCCCCUUUGCCCGUGCCAGCCGUCCGUCAGCCCCCCUGGUCAGCCCGGAGCGAGCAGAGUGUCGGUGGAGGUAUUGGAUUGACAGAUUCAUAACAUGCUUUGGGAAUAGAUGCGAUGGGACGGGGUAAGUGGCAGGAUUGCGUAGUCCCGUGGUGUGCACAGCGUAUGCUCUGUUGCCAGAAUGUUUAGGGCUGGGUAGCGGUACAAGUGAGGCGGGCAAGGCCCAUUCCCUUACGGCUCUAGGCAGAAAGAAGCAAUGGGCUGAAGUGACGCUGGAUGAGUGGCCAGUCUGGUCGGUAGGGUGGCCGGUGUGCUCUCAGGCUUGACUGCCAAUAGACCUCUGAUGAUGACACGAGCUCACGCCGUCUGCUUUGUGAACGUGUACAGGAUGCGGAAGACUGGCUACAUGCAGCAGGCCAGUCCCCACCACCCCGUGAGGGGCCGGGAUCAGUAGUCCUUACCUUACUAAUGUGUGGAAAUGGACGGUCUUAACUCUUCACUGUCCCACUGAGUGCAAUGCUAUUUCUGCCUGGAUCUCCUGCCGCACUGACCAGCUCUGGCUACACGUGUACUCCGGUGCCCCUCCCCUCCCCCCUUUGCCCGUGCCAGCCGUCCGUCAGCCCCCCUGGUCAGCCCGGAGCGAGC